UUCAUACUCCCUCCGUCCCAAAAUUCUUGUCUUACAUUUGUCUAGAUACGGAUGUAUCAAGUCACAUUUUAGUAUUAGAUACAUCCGUAUUUAGACAAAUCUAAGACAAAUUUUUUGGAACAAAGGGAGUAUAUU
rnacentral:pre_miRNA from 1 species